GGGACUGUGGCUCAGUGGUAGAGCGCUUGCCUUGCAUUCAUAAAGCCCUAGGUUCAAUUCCUCAGUAUCA
rnacentral:tRNA from 1 species